GACGAACGCUGGCGGCGUGCUUAACACAUGCAAGUCGAGCGGUAAGGCCCUUUCGGGGGUACACGAGCGGCGAACGGGUGAGUAACACGUGGGUGACCUGCCCUUAGCUCUGGGAUAAGCCUGGGAAACUGGGUCUAAUACCAGAUAUGACUCCAUGACGCAUGUUGGUGGGGUGGAAAGCCUUGUGCGGCUAGGGAUGGGCCCGCGGCCUAUCAGCUUGUUGGUGGGGUGAUGGCCUACCAAGGCGACGACGGGUAGCCGGCCUGAGAGGGCGACCGGCCACACUGGGACUGAGACACGGCCCAGACUCCUACGGGAGGCAGCGAGUGGGGAAUCUUGCGCAAUGGGCGAAAGCCUGACGCAGCGACGCCGCGUGGGGAUGACGGCC
rnacentral:rRNA from 1 species